rnacentral:lncRNA from 1 species
CCGGAUUUUUUAAUGAGGAAAUGGAAUUGGGAAACAGAGAUAUUGUAUAUGAAACACUCUGACAGUUUAAAAACUGUUAGCAGCAUCUAGUGAGACUGCUUAAUUUUUAGUACUAAUAGCAAAGCAAUUCCCAGAACAACAGUUCUCUGAGCUGCAGUGGUACUCUGGGGAUGCUGCUGCUGUUUGUAACAAUAUUACUCCUCUUUAUCUUUCUUUUUGUUUUGUAUUUUUUUAAAGUCUCGUCACUCCCCAUUUGUUGUGAUACUGGCUGUGUGUGAUGAGAACAAGGGAGGUUCCCAUUUGGAGUGGCUCCUGGAUAUCUCACCACAUCUCUCUGAAGGAACAGCUGCCUCCUCCAUCCCCUCUCAUGACGAUAAUUCAGCAGUCACCAACUUUCACCCAGUGUCAAAGGCAGGGGAAAGUGUCACAUGUCAAAAGCUUGAUUUCUCAUCAAGCAUGUGGAAAAGGAACAAUGGGAAGCUGCAGAAGUAUUCAGGUACAGAGCCUGAGGAGGACCUGGAUUCUGCAUGAGACCACAAAAGAAACAGGGGAAAAUGUAUUUCUUCUCAAAUUGCAUAUACUAUCUAAUGCAGAAAUAUCUACUUGA